UACAGAGGUCCCAAGCGUUGUUCGGAUUCACUGGGCGUAAAGGGUGCGUAGGUGGUUGGGCAAGUCUGAUGUGAAAUCUCCGGGCUUAACCCGGAAAUGGCAUUGGAAACUGCCUGGCUAGAGUGUUGGAGGGGGGACUGGAAUUCUCGGUGUAGCAGUGAAAUGCGUAGAUAUGCGGAGGAACACCGAUGGCGAAGGCAGUCCCCUGGGCCUGUACUGACGCUCAUGCACGAAAGCGUGGGGAGCAAACAGG
rnacentral:rRNA from 1 species